GACGAACCGUGCGAACGUUGUUCGGAAUCACUGGGCUUAAAGGGCGCGUAGGCGGCUUGCCAAGUCAGGGGUGAAAUCCAGCAGCUUAACUGUUGAAGUGCCUUGAUACUGGCGAGCUCGAGGGAGGUAGGGGUAUGCGGAACUUCUGGUGGAGCGGUGAAAUGCGUAGAGUAUCAGGAGGAACACCGAUGGCGAAGGCAGGUCUCUGGGCCACUACUGACGCUGAGAAGCGAAAGCUGGGGAGCGAACAGG
rnacentral:rRNA from 1 species